UACGGAGGGGGCUAGCGUUGUUCGGAAUUACUGGGCGUAAAGCGCACGUAGGCGGCUUUGCAAGUUAGAGGUGAAAGCCCGGGGCUCAACUCCGGAAUUGCCUUUAAAACUGCAUCGCUAGAAUUGUGGAGAGGUAAGUGGAAUUCCGAGUGUAGAGGUGAAAUUCGUAGAUAUUCGGAAGAACACCAGUGGCGAAGGCGACUUACUGGACACAUAUUGACGCUGAGUGCGAAAGCGUGGGGAGCAAACAGG
rnacentral:rRNA from 1 species